rnacentral:misc_RNA from 1 species
UGAUUUAUUUCUAUGCAGACACUCGGCCAACCCACGGAUGUGUCUGAUACUUAAUGUAUUGGGAUGAGGAUGACUACUUGAAUUCAAUGUUAAAAUUGUCUAUAAGUGACUAAUAAUUUGUAUAAUAUUAAAGUUUAAAUAACGGGAAACUUUUGAUUGGCGAUUAAUUAGCUGCUUUGAUUAUGAAUAGUCAUUGGCUCAACUCUAUUUCUUUGGGAUGAAUAUUGAAAUAGUAAUUCAAUUCACAUAUAUAUUUACAUACAUAUCGAAAUAACUAGCCUUGCAUUGCUGAGUUGGCCGGCGGUGCGUGUGCAACGUACGCUGCACCAUAAAUCGUCUUGUAACGCGUUUUUUUAUUUCAUUUUUUUUGUUACUUUCGUCUGGGAAACCUUACCCGAACGUGAGCAGUAAAGGAGAUGUGUGGAAUUUAAGCACGAGGUGUCUCUUUUAAUAGGAAUACCAGUCGUAAAAAGCUAAUAAAUUGAAUCUGAAGAGGAGUUUCUUCUUGUCUAUGAUAAAACUGUGUAAAAAGAUUUAAACAACAUAUUAAUAGACCAAAUGAAACAAAAAAGCAAUAAAAAUAAAUAAUACAUAAUGCCAUCGGAUAGUUAAGCAUAAAUUAUAACAUUAUUUCUCCAAAUAGCUGAAAAACCCAACUUGAAAGGCGUUGCUAAGUGCUAACAUAAAACGAACUAAAUCUGUUUACUGCAACAAGUUAUAGUGUUAAUACAAGAUAAUAUCUCUGUAUAACAUCUAAUUUAUAAAAAUUAAAAAAAACGCACCACAAAAUUUAUUUACAAAAAACAAAACGUUAGUGUAAAAAUAUAUCCCGAUGGGCACUAAUUCAGGAGCAACAACCGGCAUAAAUAAUAAGCCCGUCGGUGCGGGUGGUGCAAGCGGAAGCAGCGUUGUUGGCGGCGGUGGCGGUGGUGGAAGCGGCGUGGGAGGGGUUGGCGGUGUUGGUGGUGUCGGCACUAACAGUUUGAGCGGUGUAGUUGGUGUUAGUAACCUUGGCGGUGGUAAUGCUAAUAAUGUGACCGGUGCUGGUGGUAUUAAUACCGGCAGCAACGGUAGUGAUGAUAGCGGUAAUGGUGGAGGGGGUGGUUCAAGUGGUCAAAACAAUCAACAAACUACUCCACAAUACACGAUUCCAGGCAUACUGCACUUUAUACAACACGAAUGGUCACGUUUCGAAUUGGAACGUUCGCAAUGGGAUGUGGAUAGAGCUGAAUUGCAGGCGCGCAUAGCAAUGCUAUUGGGCGAACGAAAAUGUCUCGAAAGCCUCAAAUCCGAUCUAACACGACGUAUUAAAAUGUUGGAAUACGCUUUACGGCAGGAGCGUGCAAAAUUCUAUCGACUCAAAUACGGCACUGAUCCGCCACAAUUGAACGAAUUGAAGCCACCAACCGAUGAUGCCGGUCUGGGUAGUGAGGUAGCGCCCGAUUCGGAAGUACCAUACAGUUCAGUAUCGAAUACAACCUGGCGACAGGGCAGACAAAUGCUCAGACAGUAUUUGGCCGAAAUCGGUUACACAGAUAAUAUAAUCGAUGUGCGUUCAAAUCGGGUGCGUUCAAUACUUGGUCUCAAUAACAACUCCGAACAGGAGGAGAAUGUCAGUCCAAAUAUAAAUGGCAAUGAGAACAAUAAACGUACAGCGGAAUCGGAGGGUCGUCGCACACCAGCUAAAAAAGCUCAGCAAAAUGAUGCCAUAAUUUUGGAUACUGAAGCAGCGGUAAUGGCUAAUUUCGAAUUUCUUGGUACUACCGAAAUGUCAGAUGACGAUGAGAUUUCCGAUGAUCUCGAAAUGGUAUCUGGCGAUAAUGAUGAUGCCGAUGUGAAAACUACAAAACGUAAUAAGAGUAGCAAGGAUUUGAUUAGUGAAGAUCUUGAUGCCGAGGUUGGGGAGCAGCUUCUGAAUGAUAUAAAUCUAAUAACCGAAGGAUACUCAUCACCGAAUACGACGGAACAAUUGAACAACACUGCUAAUAAUGCAGCUGCCUCAGCCGCGGCCCGACGUAAUCUUAUUACCGCUGUCACAGCCGGUGGCGAUGAGGAGGUUGACGCUUCGCUCGGUCUUGGUGAGCUCGCACAACUGACGGUGAACAACGAGGCGGAGAGUUCGUAUGAUGCGAACGCUAAGGAUGGCACUGGCGGCGGUACUGGCAGCUACCGUAAAACUUGGAACGCCAAAUAUACGCUGCGUUCUCAUUUCGAUGGUGUACGCUCAUUGAUUUUCCACCCAGAAGAGCCGGUGCUGAUUACUGCAUCUGAAGAUCACACACUGAAAUUGUGGAAUUUACAGAAGACGGUACAAGCCAAAAAGUCAGCUAGUCUCGAUGUCGAACCAUUAUACACAUUCAGAGCGCACACCGGCCCCGUACUGUGUCUCGGCAUGUCCACCACCGGUGAUGUUUGCUAUUCGGGCGGUUUGGAUGGUAAUAUUGAAUGCUGGCAGCUACCAUCGCCAAACAUCGAUCCAUACGAUUGUUACGAUCCGAGCGUGCAUUCAGGCACACUUGAAGGACACACAGACGCUGUGUGGGGUUUGACCACGAUGCAUAGCAAUAUUGUGUCAUGUUCAGCUGAUGGCACCGUUAAACUCUGGUCGCCGUACACCAAGGAACCGCUAUUGCGCACCUACACUGCUUCCGAGGCUGAGGGCACACCAUCGUCUGUUGAUUUUGUGCGCAAUGAAGUGGAUCACAUUGUGGUGGCGUAUAAUAGCGCUCAUUGUAUUGUUUACGAUACGGAAACCGGCAAACAGGUGGUCAAAUUGGAGGCUACUCAGGAGAUGUCUGGCAAUACGGGGAAAUUUAUCAAUAAAGUGGUAUCGCAUCCGACGCUGCCUAUAACAAUCACUGCGCACGAGGAUCGUCACAUACGCUUCUGGGAUAACGUUUCGGGGACGUUAAUACACUCAAUGGUGGCACAUUUGGAGCCGGUCACAUCACUGGCUGUCGACGCGCAUGGUCUGUAUUUGUUGUCGGGCUCACACGAUUGCUCGAUACGACUUUGGAAUUUGGACAAUAAGACAUGCGUGCAAGAGAUCACAGCGCAUCGUAAGAAAUUCGAUGAGAGCAUAUUUGAUGUGGCGUUCCAUGCUACUAAGCCAUACAUUGCUAGCGCUGGAGCGGAUGGCUUGGCUAAGGUGUUUGUUUAAGUAUGGAUUGCUUUUCAGCUAAGAGAAAUCAACAAUAAAAAGAAAAAGAAAACGAUAUCAACACCACCACCACCACCACCAUCAUCAUCAUCAUCAUUAUCACCACCUAAACAACCGGCUAGUUAAAUAACAUAGACAACCAAUAAUGCUGGGUGGGUGCGCUGGAUUGGAUGGAGGACGAGGAGUUGAAAAGCUGAGAUAAAUUACCAUGCUGUUGGCAAUGCAAAUACAAAAAUAGAUCUUAGUUGGAAGGACGGAGAUGUAGUUCUAUGUCGAAUAACAAGCAAGAAAAAUACCAGUUGAUGAACGUUUGAAGAAGAGUAGUAGUGCAAGUAGAGCUGUAGUUGGUUUAAAUUAACAAAAAAAAA